UUCAGUUUGUCUAUCUUCCUCCCUCAAGUAGGAGGGAGGCGAAGACACACCCAACUUGCCAAUAAUAGAUCAAUGAGCCUGUCCUGACAAAGGCUUGGUAAAGAUGUUGGCAAUUUGGAGACGCGAAGGAAGAUAAGACAGAGAAAUAAUGCCGGCGAGAAACUGUUGUCGGACAAAAUGGCAAUCCAGCUCCAUGUGCUUAGUACGCUCAUGAAAUACUAGAUUCUUUGCAAUGUGAAUCGCCGCUUGGCUAUCAGAGUGAAGAGUCACUGGCAAAGAUGGCGUAAUAGACAAAUCUUCAAAUAAUCGAACCAACUAGGUAAUUUCUGCUACUACCCUUCUCAUCGAACGAUAUUCUGCUUCAGCGGACGAUAAAGAAACUAAGGUUGUUUCUUUGACUUCUAGGAAAUCGGUGAACCCCCAAAAUUGAUGUAGAAUCCACUGAUUGAAUGACGUGAUUCUGGGCAAGAACCCCAAUCGGAAUUGCAAAAGGCAACAAGAGGCAAAGAUGGAACGGAAUUCAUGAAAAUCCCCAAACUUGGGUCCACAAGAAGAUACCUCAAACAAUGAAAAGCUGCAUCCAAAUGAGGUUGUCGAGGAGCCUGCAUGUAUUGGCUCAGGUGCUGAACUGCGAAAGACAGAUCAUGAUGUGUAUGAAUUAGGAAAUUCAACUUUUCUAAGAGUCAGCGGAAGAAAAUAGGAUCUAAUAUCAGUUCUCAUUCAUCAGCCCUAAGCUUACGGGUGGGAUCAAUGGGCGAGGAAGUAGGCUUCAAAUCAAGACAUCCAAACUCAGUCAAUAUAAAGCGUUUCUGAGUCAAAAUUAAUCCCAGCGGAUCACGUAUAAUUUUCAUGCCUAAGAAAUAGUGAGUAUGCCCAAAUCCUUGAUUUUAAAUUCAGCAUGAAGAAAUUCCUUUAGCUGAACUUGUUCAAUUGGAUCAUCCCCUAUAAUUAGAAUGUCAUCCACAUAUACUGUGAUGAGAAUAAUCUUCCCAUCUGAUUUAAAGUUCAAAGCUGCAGUUAGCCUGACAUACCACUGUUUUGAGGCUUGCCGCAGUUCAUAAAGUGACUUCCUUAAAAGACAGACAUGAUUAGGGGAAGGUGGUGAUAUUCCUGGUGGAAACUUCAUAAACACUUCUUCCUGCAAAUCACCAUGCAGGAAGGCAUUAUUGACGUCUAGUUGAAAUAAAUCCCAUCCUUUCUUGACUGCUAUUGCAAGAUUACACCUAAUAAUUGUCAUCUUAACCACCGGUGAAAAAGUCUCCAUGAAAUAAAUUUCUUCUCUUUGUGUGUCUCCUCUAAUGACCAAACGAGCUUUGAACCUUUCUAAAGAACCAUCAGAUUUAUAUUUUACCUUGUAAAUUCAUUUACAAGGUAGAGCCCCUUCCCUGUAGGCAAAGGAAUAAAAUCGCAACUCUUAUUUGCCUCAAAUUCUUUAGCCAUAGCCUCCUACCAACCUGGGUGAAGUGAUACUUAAGAGUAGAAUAUUGGCUCAGAUAUAUAUGAAAUAGAUUUGAGCAUGAUUUGAUUUGUGGGAGAAAGAGCACAAAAAGGCAAUACAAUUGAUUUAAUAGGUGCAAAGAAACAAGAAUCAGUAAGGUUAGUAAGAAAAACAUAAUUGCAUACAUAAUUAUUAAGAUAAACAUGGGGUCUUAUUUGUUCUGAUAAAUUUUCUGAUUUCAGGUAACAGAAGACAAACAAUAUUCAGAAGAGGUGAAUGAGAAUGAGUAAUUGAGAUAUGUGACGUAGGAUAGAUAAGAGAACUUCUAGCAAAUGGUAUUGGUGACUGGGAGUAGAUAGUUGAAAGUGGUGAAUAAGAACCAUGCAUGGUGAACCCCUAGCAAUAGAGUCAUGGUUGGAAAAAGUGGUAGUAGGUGAAGAAGGAAACUCAGAAAUAGGAACUCCAUGCUGAGAAGGCAAUGUAGGAAAAAGAGGUUGAUUUCUCACUUUAGAAAAAAAAGGAAAAAUGAAUUCAUGAAAUUUAACAUCACUAGAAACAAAAAGUUUCAUGUUUUGUAAAUUUAAAAACUUGUAACCCUUCUUCCCAAAAGAAUAUAAAGACACAAGGGACUGACCUUGGGUCAAGUUUACUUAUGUGAUGUGGUAAAGUGCUAGCAUAGACAAGGCAACCAAAACUCUUAAGAGAGUGAUACUGUAACACCCAGGAAAAUUUUGAAGAAUUUAAGUGUAAAGUCCGGUAAAAUUUGCAAAGAAAAUAUUGUUUCAUGGUGCCGGACCUUUUGGGUUGAACAAUGCACGGAAAAGUAAAGAAAUAUUUUUGGCGGAAAAGUGUAUUUCUACGGUCCAUUAUGCGACCGCAGAAUCACUCUGCGGACCGCAUAAUGGCCGCAAAGUGAGGCAGUUAAUUGGGUCAGUUGAAAGCAAUUAUGCGGUCGACUAUGCGACCGCAUAACUGUUAUGCGAUGUACUAUGCGACCGCAGAACAGUUAUGUGGACCGCAUAGUGACCGCAGACUCAGGCAGAUUUUUGGUCAUUUUGGACACCAAUUAUGCGACCGAUAUGCGGUCGCAUAUGCAACCGCAGAACCUGUUCCGGAGCUUCAUUUUUGAAUUUUUAAAACCCGACCCUAUUUCGUUAAAUACACUCUUUGGGUUAUUUUUGAGGUAUAAUAUGAUAUUUUAGAGUGAGAGAGAGUGCCCUAGAGUGAGAAGGUAUUCCUCAAUAAUUGAUUCUUCAAUUCUUGCUCAAGUUUUGGAAGAUUAAGGAGGGAAACUCACUAGGUCUUCAUCCUAGAGGUAAGAUUCUAUACCCUAACCCUCAAUUUCAAAUUUUGUCUAGAAAUGGGCAAUAAGCAAGAUAAUUUCUGGGCAAGAGGGUUAUUUAUUUUACAUGCAUGUGUUAUCAAAGGGUGUAGAAAGAUUGUUGAGCUAAAAAUGGUAAAGAUUGGGUUGUGGGAUGAUGGAAUCCUCCAUAAAAGGACCUUGAACCUUAAUCCACACUUAGUGUUUGACGAAAUGCUAAAAUAAGCUGAGACCAUGAAUAUCUUCCUAAUUAUGGUUCAAUUUUGUUAUGUCUCAAAUAGAUUGGGAUUGCUAAAAUUUCUGGAAUAUUAUAGUAAUUUAAGAAAAGCUCAAUUAAGGUAUGUUGGCUAAAUUUUCUCUCUUGGAAUUGAAUUCCAUAAUAUUUAUGUGAGUUUCAAAGUAUGGGUUGGGUAUUAAAAUGUGGUGGCUUGAAUCGUAUUUCAAAUGAAAGUUAGUAUGCCAAAUUGUGUGAGAAAAUCUCAAUAUUCUUAAGACUCUUAAUUGCUCAUAUGUGUACCUAAAUUCUUGAUUGGGAAUGUCUUAUUGUUUAUAACCUAUAAAGAUGGUUGGAAGUAAAAUCAGUAAAUUGAGAAUAUAAAGUGUGACCAACGUGCCAAUAGUGAAAGUUAUACUUGUGACCAAUGGUGCCAAUGAAAUGAAAUAAUGUGAGAAAGAUUAUGAAAUGAGUUUUGACUCAACUAUUUCAAAAUUGACUUCGACAAUAUAAUCGGCUAAAAUUUUAUGAACUCAAGUGAUGCCCAUAUGCGGUUGUUAUAGCUAAUGCUAUGCUUUAUAAGUAAUUUUCAAUGUGUUUUGCGUUCUUACAUAUUCGUGAGUGGAAAUUGUGUAUGAUUUUAUCUUGUACUUCAAUUGCCAAUCAUUUUACUCCAUUUAUUGGAAAGAAAUCGAUUGUGUUUAAAGCCUUCAUUACUAAUGAAUUUAAAGUUGUGAUUUCUGGAAUAUUCUAUUUGUUGAUAAUUAUGAUGAUGAUCUAUGAAAGGAAAGAAAUAAAAGUGUGGAAUAUGAAAUACGGCUAUUGCGCCAUGAACAAAGGAUCAUAUGAAUGGACAAGAGAUCCAAUGAAAUAAUAAUGGUGUAAGUUGUUGAAAGUACGGAUUAGGUGAUAUGUGGUGUGAAAGGUUAUGAGAUGUACGUAUUUGUACUUUUGUUUCCAAUGUGUUAUGAAACCCUAUGGACGGUCUAUGAAACGCAUAUGUAUAUUGUGUUAUGAAACCCUGUGGACGGUCUAUGAAACACAUAGGUAUAUUGUGUUAUGAAAUCCUGUGGACAGUCUAUGAAACGCAUAGGUACAUCAUGUUAUGAAGUACAUUGUGUUAUGAAAUCCUGUGGAUGGUCUAUAAAAUACAUAGGUACAUUGUGUUAUGAAAUCCUGUGGACGGUCUAUGAACGCAUAGGUACAUUGUGAUAUGAAAUCCUGUGGACGGUCUAUGAACGCAUAAGUACAUUGUGUUAUAAAAUUCAUUGUGAUAUGAAAUCCUGUGGACGGUCUAUGAAACGCAUAGGUGCAUUGUGUAUAAGAGGUAUAGAUGUGCGGUAUGAAUAAACACUAUGGACGGUCUAUGAAAUGCAUAAGUGUAUAAUAUGAUAUGUGAACACUAAGGACGGUCUAAUGAGUCACAUUAUUAAUGCAGGCAAUAGGUGCCCCUUUUGUUGUCUUUGUUUGUACAGGUUGUUUCAAUUACAUUAUAUUAUGUGUUCUACGUAUAGAUCAUAUGGGCAUUCUAUUUUGAAAGAGGAUUUCUAGCUAUACAUACUAGUGCUAUUCGACAGUACUAACGUCCCUUUUGUCGGGGGCACUGCAUCUUUAAUGGAUGCAGGUGAUUCUACAGCAGGUGACAUUGAUCAGUGAUAGCAGUACACUCCUUUCAGCUGAUUUGGUGAGCCCCACUUCAUUUCGAGAUCAUGUAUCUUUUGUUUCUCAUGUACUUUGUGGUUGAAGUAUAGCCGGGGCCUUGUUGCCGACAUUUCCAUAUUACUCUUCUGUUGUACUUAGAGGCUCCGUAGACAGGUUGUGGGUGAUAUUUGAUAUUGGGAAUUGGAUUAGAACUGUUGGUAUUUGGCAACAUAUUUUUCAUUAAAUCUAUAAACUCGUCCUAUUUUGGAAAUAUUGAAUGAUACUGUUAAUGGGAAUGAAAUGGAAGCGGUUAAUGAAAUCUCUUUAGUAUUUGAUUAACGGAGUACGUCUCCUCUUUAUUCACGAAUGAUUUUGGGUAGAAUGAAAUCUAACAGGCUUGCUCAGUCGGAUUCACUCGGUUGAGCUUCGGCCGCGCUUCUCGGUUUUGGGGCGUGACAGAUACGAAGGUGGAAUUCCAAAUAAAAUCUCGAAGUGGCUUUUGAGCUUAAGAACCUUGGAAGGGAACCUAUUGAUGAGAUAUGUGGCUAUUAGAAAAUAUUCUCCCCAAAAAAUAAUAGAAAGUUUUGAUUGAUA
rnacentral:lncRNA from 1 species